rnacentral:rRNA from 1 species
AUUGAACGCUGGCGGCAGGCCUAACACAUGCAAGUCGAACGGUAACAGGAAGAAGCUUGCUUCUUUGCUGACGAGUGGCGGAUGGGUGAGUAAUGUCUGGGAAACUGCCUGAUGGAGGGGGAUAACUACUGGAAACGGUAGCUAAUACCGCAUAAUGUCGCAAGACCAAAGAGGGGGACCUUCGGGCCUCUUGCCAUCGGAUGUGCCCAGAUGGGAUUAGCUAGUAGGUGGGGUAACGGCUCACCUAGGCGACGAUCCCUAGCUGGUCUGAGAGGAUGACCAGCCACACUGGAACUGAGACACGGUCCAGACUCCUACGGGAGGCAGCAGUGGGGAAUAUUGCACAAUGGGCGCAAGCCUGAUGCAGCUAUGCCGCGUGUAUGAAGAAGGCCUUCGGGUUGUAAAGUACUUUCAGCGGGGAGGAAGGGAGUAAAGUUAAUACCUUUGCUCAUUGACGUUACCCGCAGAAGAAGCACCGGCUAACUCCGUG